rnacentral:lncRNA from 1 species
AACCACUUUUAUAAUAUUUUUGCUUAUGUAAGAGUCACUUCUAUAGUAAAAGAGCCUUAAAAAUGUUAAUUCAAUUGACUGCAGAAUUGAUCCUGAAAAUCCAGUUCAUUUAACCUUGGAAAUGAGACAUGAAGCAUAAAACCUGGGGUCAGGAUGUAUGUCCAAACUGAAUAGAUUAUUUUCGUUCAGCUCAAGUGCUAUCUUUCAGGCAAAUAGACUCCUACAAUAUUCAGUAUUGGAGAUGUUUAAAACAAAUAUAAGAAAGAGUACUGUUUCAGAACUAACCAGCGAAGAGAUGUAUACAAAGUGUACUCUGAAUUGGAAUAAGUGUAGGAAGACAAGCCGUGAGAAUGUGAGACCUCAGUAUAUUGCUGUGUUUUAUUGUGUGUUUUGCUGUAUUUUUAAAAAAUAAGAAAAAAUUAUCACAGAGUAAGAUACAUAGAAGAAAAUAAUUUCCGCAAUUCUUGGUACCUCAAAAGACCUGACACACUACAAUGAAGACUUCUGUUGUCAUCAUUCUCAGCUGUGAUGGUGGCGCCAUCCUGGUUUCCAGCUUAUACCUCCUGACAACUCGGUACAGAAAAUGAGUAUCAUUGUAAUUAAAGUUUGAUAUUUUCUUCUAAGUGACUGAUUUUUAAUAUAAAAGUAUCACAAUAAAGUUUUUCCACAGAUAUGUAAUUUUAAGUUAGAUAACAUUCUAACAUAUACAUGGUUUCAAUUUUCUUAUAAGUCUGUGAAUCACUCAAGUUAGGCAUUGUUAGGUUUUUUAAGGAAAAACUUUGAUGCCCAGAAUAACUGUAACUUAUGCAAACACACACACACACACACACACUCACACACACACGAAGUAAAUGGUAGAAAUGAAAGAAGAAGAAGAAGAAAAAAACAUUGG